AGAAGGCUCAUAAAUUCGCAGCCGUUUAAUCUCCGAAAAGGCCCCAAGCCUGCGGUGCUGCAACAAAGCGAAGGAAGAGCAAGGACACGAAGAAAGAAAAUGGGGAGGUUUCCACCGUCAUUGCGCACGGCAAGAUUGCCAGCGCCCACCCUACUGAAAAACCUCCCAUCUGUUCUUCCAGGGCAAGAAUCCCAAUCCGAAAACAAUCCUUCAAAGCCCCAUCAUCGCUCUAUACCCAAGAAUAAACCCCACAAGACAAAACCCAAGACCCUGACCCCGAAAGACUCGUCUGAAACCCCGAACCCCCCGUUCACCUUCAACUCCCCAAACCUCUCCGAAGCCAAAUCCCUCUUCGACUCCAUCCUCUCCGCCCACAAGGCGCAGCUGGACCCACGGCUCUGCAACUCCCUGCUCCAUUCAUUCUCGGCCAUCUCAACCCUCCGUGACUCCAUCUAUUUUCUUCACCACAUGACCAAAACCCACCCUCUUUUCACCCCCAAUCGCUCCACUUAUCACGUCUUGCUCGCGCAGUCCUGUAAAUCACCCGAUCCCGGCCUCUCCGAGGUCCGUCAAGCCCUCAAUCUCAUGGUCAAUGACGGUUGCCCUCCCGAGGUCGCCACUACUGACGUCGUCGUACGGUCACUCUGUUCUGCUGGCCGAGAAGACCAUGCUGUUGAAUUGGUAAAGGAGCUGUCUCUCAAACACUCAAAGCCCGAUUCCCAUACGUAUAAUUUUCUCGUUAAGUGUCUUUGCAAGACCAGGUCUUUGACUACUGUGUACAAUUUCAUUGAUGAAAUGCGCGACUCUUUUGAAUUGAAGCCUGACCUUGUUACUUAUACAAUCUUGAUUGAUAACGUGUGUAACAGAAAGAACCUUCGUGAAGCAACAAGGCUUUUAGGGAUAUUAGGUGUUGAUGGCUUUAAGCCCGAUUGCUUUGUUUACAACACAGUCAUGAAGGGUUAUUGUCUGUUGGAUCAGGGGAAUGGGGUCAUUGAGGUUUAUAACAAAAUGAGGGAGGAAGGUGUGGAGCCCGAUCUUGUGACAUACAAUACUCUGAUUUUUGGGUUAUCAAAAUCUGGGAGGGUCAAUGAGGCUAGAAAGUUUUUGGAUGUCAUGGCAGAAAAAGGUCAUUUUCCAGAUGCAGUCACCUAUACAUCUUUGAUGAAUGGGAUGUGUCGGGCAGGGAAUGCGCUGGGAGCAGUAGCUUUGUUGGGGGAGAUGGAAGCAAAAGGAUGCACUCCAAAUGAGUGUACAUAUAAUACGUUGCUUCAUGGAUUGUGUAAGUCAAGGUUGUUGGAGAGAGGAGUAGAGUUGUACGGGGCAAUAACAUCAGCCGGUAUGAAGCUUGAAACAGCCUCUUAUGCUGCACUUGUGAGGUCAUUUUGUAGGGAAAGUAGGAUUGCUGAGGCAUAUGAAGUUUUUGAUUAUGCGGUUGAGAGUAAGAGCCUGAAAGAUGUUGCUGCUUACUCAACAUUGGAGAGUACCCUAAAGUGGCUAAAGAAAGCUAGAGAACAAGGGCUUGCUAAAUGAGUGCUCUGUGAGAGCCUGAGCCGAGAGGAAGAUUGCAGUGAUGGGAGUUGUUGGUUGCGAGUCUGCGAUGAUGGAGGUGGAGGGUGAAGCCGAAGGCUACAGGCAGAGGGAUGAAGGGUCGGAGCACUGGAGGGGAGCCGAAGGCUAGGGCUUUUCAAGGUUCGAAGGUGGAGGCAGGAGGCAGCUGGAAUCCAGGGUGUUUUUUUUUUUUUUUUUAUAUGUUUGAAGAUGGAAGAUGGAAUAAGAAGAAGGCUUUUCUCAAGGUCCUUGAGGUUCUUGCGUGGUUCUGAGUUUGGAAUUGUCAGUGACGUGCCUUCGGCCGAAGGAGCCAAAUGCAUGUGCCAGAUGCUUAUGUCAUAUGACUGCAUUAUAUAAAAUCUAUCAGCAUCCGAUCCCCAACUCCAACGACCUUCUGGAGAAAACGCCAUAGCUGCAGCCUUCUGCGAAGGUUGUGUCCAAUAAAAUCAUUUUUUUUGUGCGUCCCUGUGAAUGCUUGAGGGCUUGCUGGGUUAUACUUGGUUGACCUACAACUCGCAAGAAAUAGGCUUUUGAGCCCAGCCGUGGAGCCUUGCUAAGCGGAAGAUCAUUUCAACUGCCGUUGCAACGACUUUUGGCCCGGGUGACUUUGGCGCUCAACAAAUGUCUGGCCUUGCCACUCACCAUUGUGCUUGAUUGGAGAACAUGAAAUUGUUCUGAUGACUGUUUCCUUGCCCUAUUAUUUUUUCUGACGCAGUAACGUAACCCAUUAUAAACUUCCAUUUCCUCUUUAUUUAUUUUUUUAUUUUUUAAAAUUUUCUUAAUUUUUAAUUAUUUUUUUUGUUUGGGUUACCUUCCAGUUGAUUUAAAAAUAUAUGCAUGAAUACAAAGUGAAGAGGAAUAGUGAACGGAUUUUACAGUAUUUCUUCAAUAAUAUAUAGGAGAUAGUAGCGUUUUCAUUUAA